rnacentral:rRNA from 1 species
GAUGAACGCUGGCGGCGUGCCUAAUACAUGCAAGUCGAGCGAACGGACUAUACGCUUGCUUCUCUGAUGUUAGCGGCUGACUGGUGAGUAACACGUUGAUAACUUACUUAUAUGCCUGGGAUAACUUCGGAAAACCGGAGCUCAUUCCGUAUAAUAUUUUGAUCUGCAUGGUUCAAAAUUAAAAGACGGUCUUGCUUUCUUUUAUCGCUGGAUCCGGGCUCCAUUUUCUAUUUGGUAAGGUAACGGCUUACCAAGGCAAAAAUGAAUGGCCGACCUGGGAGGGGGAUCGGCCAAACGGGAACUGAGAAACGGUCCAGACUCCUACGGGAGGAAGCAGUAGGGAAUCUUCAGCAAGGGGCGAAAGCCUGACGGAGCAAGGCCGCGUGAGUGAUGAAGGUCUUCGGAUCGAAAAACUCGGUUAAUAGGGAAGAACAGAUGUGGAAGGAAAUGUGCACAUCUUGACGGUACCUAAUCAGAAAGCCACGGCUAACUACGUG